AGUGAACGCUGGCGGUAGGCCUAACACAUGCAAGUCGAACGGCAGCACAGUAAGAGCUUGCUCUUACGGGUGGCGAGUGGCGGACGGGUGAGGAAUACAUCGGAAUCUACUUUUUCGUGGGGGGUAACGUAGGGAAACUUACGCUAAUACCGCAUACGACCUACGGGUGAAAGCAGGGGAUCUUCGGACCUUGCGCGAUUGAAUGAGCCGAUGUCGGAUUAGCUAGUUGGUGGGGUAAAGGCCCACCAAGGCGACGAUCCGUAGCUGGCCUGAGAGGAUGAUCAGCCACACUGGAACUGAGACACGGUCCAGACUCCUACGGGAGGCAGCAGUGGGGAAUAUUGGACAAUGGGCGCAAGCCUGAUCCAGCCAUACCGCGUGGGUGAAGAAGGCCUUCGGGUUGUAAAGCCCUUUUGUUGGGAAAGAAAAGCAGCAGGUUAAUACCCCGCUGUUCUGACGGUACCCAAAGAAUAAGCACCGGCUAACUUCGUG
rnacentral:rRNA from 1 species